AAAGCUGAGGGCUGGAAAAAAUAAAGGAGCAGUGAGGAAAUUGCUCAAUUCUCUGUUCUGAUGCUGCUUGCAGGGUACUAUGAGGUCAUUACAGGUUGAUAGCUGGUAUGGUGUAACAAAUGCAAUGGAAACCAACAGGAGCAAGAGCCUUUUGGAAACAGUCAAGAAAUUUUUGUCUGAAAAGUGCCAAAUUUUGUGAGGUUCUUCUGCAUAAACCACCAGUGAACAAGGUCUGCUUCCUGGUGAGGCCCUUCCUGGGGAGCAAGCAGGCAGCAGCAUGCAGUCUAUUCCAGCAAGCAAGUCCUGUUCUCAAUCUGAUGAGAAGGCUUCAAUCACUACUUUCUGUUGACUGUUUUGUAAAAUAAAGCAUCGUAACUGAUGCAUCACAACUGCAUAAAAGAGACCGUGAUACAGACUGGCACAGACAGAAUAUCAACUUCGUCUCCAUCAGCCAUGAAAGUUGGUUCAUGAAGAGAUUCCAUUGGCAUUGAAACGAACUGCAAGUUUGCAUGAUGAUCUCUAGGAAUUGUACAGUGCGAUGAGGUACAAAUUCACAGUCAAGGAAUUUUUGUGCUACUUCAUACAUUUGUAAUGCAAACCAUUACCACCCUGAUUUCCACAACACGAAGUAAAACUCCAGCAGUUUUAAUGAAUGAAUCCAUCGCAGUUUCUUUCAAAACAUUUUUUACAAUGAUAAUAAAUCCUAGAAUUGCCAUUGCUGUUAUCACGAAAAUUAAAAUGAACAGGAAAUUAAAAUGAAAGCCCCAGACCAAUCAAUAAACUAAUAAAUUUGAGGCAAAACUUUGAAAAUGGUAAGUAAACUGCUGCUGUUUUACUUCAAUUCAUGGACUCAGACAUAAUACCAUGGUACAGCUUGCUCAGUGCCAGCUCUUUUCUUGGAGCAAUUCAAUUCAAGAUGAUCACAGCAUGAGAUCAUACUUUUGUCUUCUUGGGUAUGGAUUGGAGGUGAGAGAAAAUUCAGUUUUGCCAAGGUAAAUUAAGUUUCUCUCCUUAUUGCUGUGUUUGCCUAGACAAGUAAUAGGAUUUGCAUUUUGUUAAUUGUUUACAGAUGAGAGGUAUAAAAAGAUUUUAAUUUAGCAAAGAAUCUAAUUUUGGGUGGAACUUAUCCUGUCUGUUAUUGAGAUUAAUCUGAAGUUUUACAAUAUUUUUAAGGAUUAGCUCUGAGUUGGGAGAAAGAACUGCUCUUUAAACAGCAUCAUGGUGGUAGGAAGACAAAGCUAAAUUAUUCUGGGGUGAGCCUGAGCUCCCCUUGCCACCAAGGCUGCCCACAAGUUAUGCAAAGAUGCACUGACUGUGGCUGGUGCAGUAAGGCUACUGGGACAAUAAAGGGCUGUGCUCUAGGAAUUAUUUGCAUAUUGGCUGCAAAUUCCUCUGGCUCAGCUGCCUGCAAUACGUCAUGCAUGAAAGUAUUUUACACCGCAGUAUGGAAGGAAAUACGUGCACCUCGCACUACAGCCUUCAGUGCUAUCUUCUGGGGGAAAAAAUGGGCAUUUGCCAAUGUAGGAAAAUAUAUAAUAGGAAAAAAAACGUAGGGGAAGAAGAAAAAAAGGCAGCAGCAACAAACAAAAUCAUAACCACUUCUUAAAAAUAUUCUAAACGUAAUAAAGGAUGGGCUCUAAGAGUAUGUAUUUUGAGGCAGAAGCAAAAAUCUGUGCAAGUAAUUUUUUUAGUUCCUGAAUCACCUGGCAUCUGAAAAUAUCCAAUAGGAAACUGGGGAUACCUGCAAAAGGUGAUAGAUUUCACAUACACAACCCUUGCUUUCA